rnacentral:rRNA from 1 species
AGUGUAUGUGGUGGAUGCCUUGGCGAUCACAGGCGAUGAAGGACGUGACAGCCUGCGAAAAGCUGUGGGGAGCUGGCAAAUAAGCUUUGAUCCACAGAUGUCCGAAUGAGGGAACUCACCUGCUUUGCAGGUAUCCCAUCCUGAAUAUAUAGGGAUGGGAGGCGAACGAAGCGAACUGAAACAUCUAAGUAGCUUCAGGAAAAGAAAUCAACCGAGAUUCCGAAAGUAGCGGCGAGCGAAAUCGGAUCAGCCCAGCACUCGAUAGCAGCCAACUUACGGGAACGGUCUGGAAAGUCCGGCCAUAGAGGGUGAUAGCCCCUUACUGGAAAAGGCAGCUGUGGUACUAAGUGUGCGAUAAGUAGAGCGGGACACGUGACAUCCUGCUCGAAGAUGGGGGGACCAUCCUCCAAGGCUAAAUACUCGUGAUCGACCGAUAGCGUACCAGUACUGUGAAGGAAAGGUUAAAAGAACCCCGGGAGGGGAGUGAAAUAGAUCCUGAAACCGCAUACAUACAAACAGUAGGAGCCUCGUUAAGGGGUGACUGCGUACCUUUUGCAUAAUGGGUCAGCGACUUACGUUUAAUGGCGAGCUUAACCGUAUAGGGGAGGCGCAGCGAAAGCGAGUUCGAACAGAGCGUUCAGUCGUUAGGCGUAGACCCGAAACCAGAUGAUCUAUCCAUGGCCAGGUUGAAGGUGUGGUAACACACACUGGAGGACCGAACCGACUAGUGUUGCAAAAUUAGCGGAUGAGCUGUGGAUAGGGGUGAAAGGCUAAACAAAUCUGGAGAUAGCUGGUUCUCCCCGAAAACUAUUGAGGUAGUGCCUCGUGUAUGACUCCAGGGGGUAGAGCACUGUUAUGGCUAGGGGGACAUGGCGUCUUACCAAACCAUGGCAAACUCCGAAUACUUGGAAGUUUGAGCACGGGAGACAGAGCACCGGGUGCUAACGUCCGGACUCAAGAGGGAAACAACCCAGACCGCCGGCUAAGGUCCCUAAUAUUGACUAAGUGGAAAACGAAGUGGAAAGGCUAAGACAGUCAGGAAGUUGGCUUAGAAGCAGCCAUCCUUCAAAGAAAGCGUAAUAGCUCACUGAUCGAGUCUUUCUGCGCGGAAGAUGUAACGGGGCUAAGUCAAUAACCGAAGCCGCGGAUUCACACUUAUGUGUGAGUGGUAGGGGAGCGUUCUGUAAGCCUGCGAAGGUGACUCGUAAGGGUUGCUGGAGGUAUCAGAAGUGCGAAUGCUGACAUGAGUAACGUUAAAGCGGGUGAAAAGCCCGCUCGCCGUAAGCCCAAGGUUUCCUGCUCUACGUUCAUCGGAGCAGGGUGAGUCGGCCCCUAAGGUGAGGCUGAGAAGCGUAACUGAUGGGAACAAGGUUAAUAUUCCUUGACCACCGCUGAAUGCGAAGGGGGGACGGAGUAUUGAAGAUCAUCCGGGUGUUGGAUAUCCCGGUUUGCGAGCGUAGGAGGCUGACAGGCAAAUCCGUCAGCGAAUCUCCGAGGCAAAGCAUCGAGCUCUCUUUUGAGCGAAGUGAUUGGAUGUGCUUCCAGGAAAAGCCUCUAAGCUCCAGUUCAGCGGGACCGUACCGCAAACCGACACUGGUGGGCGAGCUGAAUAUGCUCAGGCGCUUGAGAGAACUCAGGAGAAGGAACUCGGCAAAUUGACACCGUAACUUCGGGAUAAGGUGUGCCUUUGUAGUGUGAAGGGAGAAACACCCCGAGCAUGAAGAGGCCUCAGAGAAUCGGUGGCUGCAACUGUUUACUAAAAACACAGCACUCUGCAAAGAUGAAAGUCGACGUAUAGGGUGUGAUGCCUGCCCGGUGCUGGAAGAUUAAUUGAUGGGGUGCAAGCUCCUGAUCGAAGUCCCAGUAAACGGCGGCCGUAACUAUAACGGUCCUAAGGUAGCGAAAUUCCUUGUCGGGCAAGUUCCGACCUGCACGAAUGGCAUAACGAUGGCCACACUGUCUCCUCCUGAGACUCAGUGAAGUUGAAGUGUUUGUGAUGAUGCAAUCUCCCCGCGGCUAGACGGAAAGACCCCAUGAACCUUUACUGUAGCUUUGCAUUGGACUUUGAACCGAUCUGUGUAGGAUAGGCGGGAGCCUGUGAAACCACAACGCCAGUUGUGGCGGAGGCGUCCUUGAAAUACCGCCCUGAUUUGUUUGAGGUUCUAACCUGGGACAGUCAUCCUGUCCGGGGACCGUGCAUGGUAGGCAGUUUGACUGGGGCGGUCUCCUCCUAAAGGGUAACGGAGGAGUGCGAAGGUACGCU